rnacentral:rRNA from 1 species
ACUCAAAUGAAUUGACGGGGACCCGCACAAGCGGUGGAGCGUGUUGUUUAAUUCGAUGAUAAGCGAAGAACCUUACCAAGGCUUGACAUCCCUGGAAGGCCCUCGAAAGGGGGCUGUGCCUUCGGGAAUCAGGUGACAGGUGCUGCAUGGCCGUCGUCAGCUCGUGUCGUGAGAUGUUUGGUUAAGUCCAUCAACGAGCGCAACCCUUGUGAUUAGUUGAAUUUUCUAAUCAGACUGCCUCGGUAACGGGGAGGAAGGAGGGGAUGAUGUCAGGUCAGUAUUGCCCUUAUGCCUUGGGCUACAAACACGCUACAAUGGCCGGUACAAAGGGCUGCCAACCCGCGAGGGGGAGCAAAUCCCAUCAAAGCCGGUCCCAGUUCGGAUAGCAGGCUGAAACUCGCCUGCUUGAAGUCGGAAUCGCUAGUAACGGUGAGUCAGCUAUAUUACCGUGAAUACGUUCCCGGGUCUUGUACACACCGCCCGU